GAUGAACGCUAGCUACAGGCUUAACACAUGCAAGUCGAGGGGAAACGGCAUUACGUGCUUGCACUUUUUGGACGUCGACCGGCGCACGGGUGAGUAACGCGUAUCCAACCUUCCCAUGACUAAGGGAUAACCUGCCGAAAGGCAGACUAAUACCUUAUGGUCUUCACUGACGGCAUCAGAUGUGAAGUAAAGAUUUAUCGGUUAUGGAUGGGGAUGCGUCUGAUUAGCUUGUUGGCGGGGUAACGGCCCACCAAGGCAACGAUCAGUAGGGGUUCUGAGAGGAAGGUCCCACACAUUGGAACUGAGACACAGACCAAAAUCCUAAGGGAGGAAGCAGUGAGGACUAUUAGUCAAUGGGCGAGAACCUGAACCAGCCAAGUAGCGUGCAGGAGGACGGCCGUAUUGGGUGUAAACUGCUUUUGUAUGGGGAUAAAGUAAAUCACGUGUGAUUGUUUGCAGGUACCAUACGAAUAAGGACCGGCUAAUUCCGUG
rnacentral:rRNA from 1 species